GACUUUCUAGGAAUAGAAGAAGUACAAUGAUGUUUCUCAGUAAUGGCUAGAAUGCCUGACUCCUCUAGGGAAUCUUGAAAUGAAACGAAACAGCUUAACGAUAAUUUCUAGCAACGGCUGGAAUGCACGACUGUGCUUGGGAAAUGUUUUGAGGAUGAACGUUGAUUUUAUUGGGGAAAAUUCCUAACAACGGUUGGGAAAUUCCGAACUCUGAUGAGUUAAUUUGAGUAAGUUAAGGAGAUACUUAUGAUGUGAUGUUAUGUAUGCCAAUGC
rnacentral:lncRNA from 1 species